AUUGAACGCUGGCGGCAGGCCUAACACAUGCAAGUCGAGCGGAUGAAGGGAGCUUGCUCCUGGAUUCAGCGGCGGACGGGUGAGUAAUGCCUAGGAAUCUGCCUGGUAGGGGGGGAUAACGUCCGGAAACGGGCGCUAAUACCGCAUACGUCCUGAGGGAGAAAGUGGGGGAUCUUCGGACCUCACGCUAUCAGAUGAGCCUAGGUCGGAGUAGCUAGUUGGUGGGGUAAAGGCCUACCAAGGCGACGAUCCGUAACUGGUCUGAGAGGAUGAUCAGUCACACUGGAACUGAGACACGGACCAGACUCCUACGGGAGGCAGCAGUGGGCAAUAUUGGGCAAUGGGCGAAAGCCUGAUCCAGCCAUGCCGCGUGUGUGAAGAAGGUCUUCGGAUUGUAAAGCACUUUCAGUUGGGAGGAAGGGCAGUAAGUUAAUACCUUGCUGUUUUGACGUUACCAACAGAAUAAGCACCGGCUAACUUCGUG
rnacentral:rRNA from 1 species